GUCUAUGGCCAUACCACCCUGAAUGCACCUGAUCUUGUCUGAUCUUGGAAGCUAAUCAGGGUUGGGCCUGGGUUAGUAGUUGGAUGAGAGAUUUUUAUAUGCAUAUGUAAUAACAAAGGUCUUCAAACUCA
rnacentral:rRNA from 1 species